rnacentral:rRNA from 1 species
CCAUGCCGCGUGUGUGAAGAAGGCCUUCGGGUUGUAAAGCACUUUCAGUCGUGAGGAAGGGGUGUCGUUAAUAGCUGCUUUUGACGUUAGCGACAGAAGAAGCACCGGCUAACUCCGUGCCAGCAGCCGCGGUAAUACGGAGGGUGCGAGCGUUAAUCGGAAUUACUGGCGUAAAGCGCAUGCAGGUGGUUUGUUAAGUCAGAUGUGAAAGCCCGGGGCUCAACCUCGGAAUAGCAUUUGAAACUGGCAGACUAGAGUACUGUAGAGGGGGGUAGAAUUUCAGGUGUAGCGGUGAAAUGCGUAGAGAUCUGAAGGAAUACCGGUGGCGAAGGCGGCCCCCUGGACAGAUACUGACACUCAGAUGCGAAAGCGUGGGGAGCAAACAGGAUUAGAUACCCUGGUAGUCCACGCCGUAAACGAUGUCUACUUGGAGGUUGUGGCCUUGAGCCGUGGCUUUCGGAGCUAACGCGUUAAGUAGACCGCCUGGGGAGUACGGUCGCAAGAUUAAAACUCAAAUGAAUUGACGGGGGCCCGCACAAGCGGUGGAGCAUGUGGUUUAAUUCGAUGCAACGCGAAGAACCUUACCUACUCUUGACAUCCAGAGAACUUUCCAGAGAUGGAUUGGUGCCUUCGGGAACUCUGAGACAGGUGCUGCAUGGCUGUCGUCAGCUCGUGUUGUGAAAUGUUGGGUUAAGUCCCGCAACGAGCGCAACCCUUAUCCUUGUUUGCCAGCGAGUAAUGUCGGGAACU